UCACUGGUGAAAGUCCAGUUCUGGUAAGGGUCAGGCCGCCAGAUAGCAGGCCCUUCGGCGAUGCAGUCGGGUGACUGAUUGUGUCGAAGCGUUGUAACCCUUCGAGAAGAAGGAGCAAAACAGCAGCCCGUAACAUAA
rfam:Anaerolineae bacterium CG1_02_58_13 cg1_0.2_scaffold_18417_c, whole genome shotgun sequence.